rnacentral:rRNA from 1 species
GAUCAUGGCUCAGGAUGAACGCUAGCUACAGGCUUAACACAUGCAAGUCGAGGGGCAGCAUCAACUUAGCUUGCUAAGUUUGAUGGCGACCGGCGCACGGGUGAGUAACACGUAUCCAACCUGCCGAUGACUCGGGGAUAGCCUUUCGAAAGAAAGAUUAAUACCCGAUGGCAUAAUUCUUCCGCAUGGUAGAAUUAUUAAAGAAUUUCGGUCAUCGAUGGGGAUGCGUUCCAUUAGG